UACGUAGGUGGCAAGCGUUGUCCGGAUUUACUGGGCGUAAAGAGCGCGCAGGCGGUCGUUCAAGUCGCGUGUGAAAGCCCCCGGCUCAACUGGGGAGGGUCACGCGAUACUGAUCGACUCGAAGGCAGGAGAGGGUAGUGGAAUUCCCGGUGUAGUGGUGAAAUGCGUAGAUAUCGGGAGGAACACCAGUGGCGAAGGCGACUACCUGGCCUGUUCUUGACGCUGAUGCGCGAAAGCCAGGGGAGCAAACGGG
rnacentral:rRNA from 1 species